rnacentral:lncRNA from 10 species
UCCAGGUGACAGAUUGUGAUGGGCUAGGGUCUGUGACUCCCAGGUGUGAAGCCACUGGCGGAGUAUCCAGGGGCCGAGGGCUGAUGCAUUUCUCCUCAUCCACCUCACUCUGACCCCGGAUGCCAGUUAACCCAGGAGAGGUCCCUGAACACAACCCCGAUGCAAGCAAAGGUGGUGGACAAUACGGAGGAGGAUGAAGAGGCAUGGUCCACCACAACAGGUUGCCCAGAGAGGCUGUAGAGAGUUUAAAAGGAAGGAGUGAGAGGGAUCACCAGACCAUGAAGCAUGGAAAUUAAGGCUCAAGAAGGUGACUUGCCCAAGACUUCAUAGCCCACAACUGCUGGAGGUGGGAUUUGAACUCGUCUGCGAGGUUCGAAAUCACCCCAGCCCAGUGCCUGCUCCUGACAGAGACUCAGCAAGUGCAGCUCUGCGUGUUUCCUCCAUCACAGAGGCCUGCUUAGGGGAAAAAUCUUGCUGAAGAAAAGUGGCCGAUGGUUUCGAGAGAAGAGACGCUUAUUCAUGUAAUUCUCAAGAAUCCCAUCUCCGGCUUAGAAGGACACCUUUUCUGAUUUCCCAUUCAAAGGGACUGACGUACACUCAGGGGCUGAGGCAGCAGCUGUUUUUGCUGUGCACAGACUGGAGAGCGAUGUGUGAGUGAAGUCUGUGGCCACUUCUCUCCUCCCCCGAGCCUUCUGGGGUUUGGGUUUAUGACUCCAGAGGCGGAGAAGCGUGUUCCCUUUCUGUGCGGAUCCCGUCAUUGACAGAGUCUGUUUUAGAAGAGCAUUUUUAGAUGGCAGCGAACGUUCCAGACCCCAAAGCAUUCUCUUUACAGCACCGUCUAGCUUGGGUGGGGAUAGGGUGGGUUUGUGAACACGUGUGUGCGUGAGAGUGUGAGUGUGUGCAAGUGUGUGCACGUGUGUGUCAGUCCCUCUGUCUGGCUCCCACUGCUAGCCACCUCUGUCAUAUCCUGACUAUUUCGCCGGGGCAUCGUCCAGCCAUAGGAAUCUUCAGCAAACCUACAGUUCAGACGAACGCCCUCGUUUCUGCCCUGAGAAGAAAGUCCGUUGAGUCUGAGGGCUCCCGAGUCAUUCUCUCAAGGCAUUCAUUCAGUUUUGUUUCCCCUGGUGCUACCCUCUCUGAAGUCGUUAUUACUCAUUAGGUGUAUUGCACAUACAGAAAAAGUAGGUCAAGGAUUAAAAAAAAAAAGAAAAAACAUCUCUGGGAGAAGCACAAGUAUUGUGUAAAGCUAUUUUGAACUUGCGUGAGAUUUUUCAAGGGGGAAAUGUUUUGUGCAGAGACGGCUGCUGCCACAGCUGACUUACCAAUGAAUGCCCGUGUCUGAGCCUUUCAUACGCUAACCACGUGACCUUGGAAUUCCAUUUUGAAAUGAUAAUUGUGCCCAGUGGGGUGAGCAGCCUCUCAAUCCAGGUUCUAUACAAUAUAGGUCACCUCGAGGAUCCUCAGUAGAACAGGAACAAGAGAAUCCUGAGAAAUCUCUGUAAAGAAACAGAAAGAAUGAGAGAGAAAACUGUGUGUCUAACCACCGGGCCCCUGGGCCCUAUGUGCCACCCAGGUUUGGAGCAAGGCUGCGGGGCAGAUGAUGUCCAGGAGAGCCUCAGAAAGUCCGGGCUCUAGAAAAAAAUACGUUCCAGCUCACUCUGCUCUGACCCUGCAUCUGCUCUGUGCUGAAAGCUUUGUUGCUGCCAUGAAUAUAUUUAAGGGGAAUAAAAUGUGCAGUGUCAAAGCGACUGGCUUGAAGUGGGCUGGAUGCAUCCUAGGCUCCGCGAGGGAAAAGGCCUCUAGCUGGCAGUUGACAGAAGGGGGAAGGCAGUGAGGAGUGGGCCCACCCACGGGAGUCUGGGCAUGAGGCGGGUCCUGGUUCCCAGGCUGCCCCGUGGGAAUAUGCUCCAUGGGCUGGGGCUGCUGUGCUGGCUGCUCUUGCCCCCAGGGGGUCACUACGCUGGGCUUCUCCAUCAGGGCUAUCACGAUAUUGCCCAGGGUUUACAGGUUUACAGGCAUUAUCUCACUCAGUGUUGUUUUGCUCCCUUUCACAAAGAAAGGAAGGAAAAGAGAGGCAGGGGGUGAGAGAGGAAGCCAGACUAGCAUUCAGCUCUGCUAGUUGUUCCUCGCCUGGGUUAGGCUUCCCUGGAAAGUAGCCUGCAUUGUCUUGCACCUCCUUCAUCUGACAGCCAGGUGCUCCUACUGGAGCAUAACUGUAGUAGGCCAUUUCUGUGCCAGUUGACUGAGAAGGCAGUGUCCCUGCUUUUCUGGAAACUUCCACACAACACAAUUCCCGAUGGAAAGCAUUUAACAAUUAUGGGUGGGGCUCUGAUCAAAAAGUAAGCUUUAGAAAAGGUUAACAGCUAAGCUGGGCAUGGUGGCUCACACCUGUAAUCCCAGCACUUUAGGAGGCCGAGGCGUGCAGAUCACCUGAGGUCAGGAGUUCGAGACCAACCUGGCCAUCGUGGCAAAACUCUGUCUCUACUAAAAAUACAAACAACAACAACAACAAAAGAAAAAAAAAUUAGCCGAUCAUGGUGGCAGGCACAAGCCUGUAAUCCCAGCUACUUAGAAGGCUGAGGCAGGAGAAUCGUUUGAACCUGGGAGGUGGAGGUUGCAGUGAGCCGAGAUUGUACUACAGCACUCCAGCCUGGGCAAAAGAGUGAGACGCUCUCUCAAAUUAAAAAACAACAAAAAAAGGUAACAGCAAGUGGUUACAACCCAUGAAUCUUUAAUCAUUUUAAAUAGUAAAAGUGUUUGGAAACUCUUAUAAUAUUAGAGCUAAAACACACCUUAGGGAUGAUUUAAGGCACUUUUUCAAACGAUAAACAAGAUCCAGAUAAUUACGUCAAAUAUUUAUAGUAACCCAUCUUAUUGGUGCCAGUUUGAGAAUAGAACCCACAUUUGCAAAUAAUCUCAACACCUUCUGUUUCACCUCACUUUUCAAAGGUCCUUGAGAAGGGUAUUUGCACACUGCCUGCAAGGUAGCUGCAAUGGCUAUAAAGCUAUUGCGUAGAUAGAAUUCCAAUUGCGUAGAUAGAAUUCUACUCUAUCUGUGUUAACCUAGCUAAAAUUAAUGUGCUGUGAUAAAACUCACCAACUAAACAUG